rnacentral:rRNA from 1 species
UUCGCAAUGCCCGAAAGGGUGACGAAGCGACGCCGCGUGUGGGAAGAAGGCCUUCGGGUUGUAAACCACUGUCGGGAGUUAAGAAAUGCAAGGAUAUGAAUAGUGUCUUUGCUUGACUAAGGCUCCGGAGGAAGCCACGGCUAACUCUGUGCCAGCAGCCGCGGUAAUACAGAGGCGGCAAGCGUUGUUCGGAAUUAUUGGGCGUAAAGAGCACGUAGGCGGCUAUGUAAGUCGGUUGUGAAAGCCUUCCGCUCAACGGGAGAACAGCAUCCGAUACUACAUGGCUUGAGUGCGGGAGGGGAGAGUGGAACUUCUGGUGGAGCGGUGAAAUGCGUAGAUAUCAGAAGGAACGCCGGCGGCGAAAGUGGCUCUCUGGCCCAUAACUGACGCUGAGUGUGCGAAAGCUAGGGGAGCAAACGGGAUUAGAUACCCCGGUAGUCCUAGCCGUAAACGAUGGGCACUAAGUAGAGGGGUUUU